UCCCUGGUGGUCCAGUGGCUAAGACUCUGCACUCCCAAUGCAGGGGGCCCGGGUUCGAUCCCUGGUCAGGGAA
rnacentral:tRNA from 1 species